rnacentral:rRNA from 1 species
GACGAACGCUGGCGGCGUGCCUAAUACAUGCAAGUAGAACGCACAGUUUAUACCGUGGCUUGCUACACCAUAGACUGUGAGUUGCGAACGGGUGAGUAACGCGUAGGUAACCUGCCUGGUAGCGGGGGAUAACUAUUGGAAACGAUAGCUAAUACCGCAUAAUAUUAAUUAUUGCAUGAUAAUUAAUUGAAAGGUGCAAUUGCACCACUACCAGAUGGACCUGCGUUGUAUUAGCUGGUAGGUGAGGUAACGGCUCCCUAGGCGACGAUACAUAGCCGACCUGAGAGGGUGAGCGGCCACACUGGGACUGAGACACGGCCCAGAGGCCUUCGGGAGGCAGCAGUAGGGAAUCUUCAGCAAUGGGCGAAAGUCUGACCGAGCAACGCCGCGGGAGUGAAGAAGGUUUUCGGAUCGUAAAGCUCUGUUGUAAGAGAAGAACGGGUGUGAGAGUGGAAAGUUCACACUGUGACGGUAUCUUACCAGAAAGGGACGGCUAACUACGUG